UGACAUCAAUAGAAAAUCUUUCACAACAGGUUUGUUACAAUGAAUUAAGAAAUCAGAUCCAAACAGCUACAUUCAGCAGAUGAAAGUACUAAUAUUAAUGAAAACACACACAUUUCUGAGAAAUCAUUUAUCAUCAGUGAUAAAACUAAUGAUGGAAAUGUAAAUAAACUAUUGAUGUCUCAUACUGGAAAUAUAAAUCGUAAUUACUGUGAUACUGUUUUGCAUAAAAAAAGCCGAGGAAUAUAAAAAAAAUACCGACGUAUAGUUACACUUCAAAAACGACAGCUUCAAUGGUUUCGAAAACACAUGACGAACUUAAAAAAUAUAAUAACGAAAUUAAGACAACAGAGUAAAGUUUCAGACAAUUCUUUCACCUUUCUCGAAUCAAUAUCAGAUCAGGGUAUAAAAAAAUUAAUACAGCGUAUUAUACAAAAGAUGGUGAGCAAACGUAAAUACUCACCAUGCGAAUCUUU